rnacentral:miRNA from 1 species
UAACGGAACCCAUAAAGCAGCUG